CAUGUCUUCCGAAAGCCUAAACACUGUCAUGCAAAUCAAACCCCUUCAUAAAUGAUUAGAGGUGUUCUCAGGAGAAGUGAGGAUCUGGGUUCAGGUUCAGAUCAAACCAUGUUCUCUACACUUCUACUCUUGCUGUUAACAGCUACAUCUGGUAUUAAAUGUAUUGAACUGGUUCAGCCUGCAGUCAUACUGGUUAAGCCUGGAGAAUCAUUUUCAGUCCCCUGUAAGAUCACUGGAUACUCAGCCACUAGUCAAUGUACUAACUGGAUGCGACAAUCAGGACAAAAACUGGAAUGGAUCGGCUGGUACUGCAGCUCCAAUAAUACUGGCAGCAGCGAUUCACUAAAGAACAAGAUCCGUUUCUCAGCUGAAGCUUCCACCAACACUGUGACUUUACAUGGGCAACAAUUUCAGACUGAGGACACAGCUGUGUAUUACUGUGCACGAGAGCCACAGUCGUUCAGAUUACUGCUGAGGCUGUACAAAAACCAGGGUCAUGCUGUGUUGAGCUCCCUUUAGUCUGCAUUUGGUCAUGUCCUGUGAUGAACAUUAGACAAAGACCUGACUGAAGACUGAACAUUGAAUUUUAGACCUAGGGUUAGCUUGAUUUAACAGGAAAAUAAAUAAUUAAAACUUUUGAAAUUGUACAUAUUCAAACACAGACAGUAUCAAUCCUGCACAAGUGAUACAUAACAUGUUACCUAACUCACAGUCAUUUAACCAACUUUAUUGCAGAUAAUGUGGACUUUCUAUGGUCAGAUUUUGACAUUGUUUAGUAGAAAUAAAUCUAAAAACUACAGGUUUUCCUUUACUGAAAUAUAUUUCUCUUUAGCAGGUCCCUCGAGAUCAAGAAAAGUUUUACCAUUUCAAGAUUUCAUUCUGAUUGUGGUGCAGAUAUGAAUAAAAAAAUAACAAUUUUAGAUGUUUUAUAGCAUGAACAUUGUGGAUAGAAGUG